rnacentral:rRNA from 1 species
UACGGAGGGGGCUAGCGUUGUUCGGAAUUACUGGGCGUAAAGCGCGCGUAGGCGGAUCUUUAAGUCAGGGGUGAAAUCCCGAGGCUCAACCUCGGAACUGCCUUUGAUACUGGGGAUCUCGAGUCCGGGAGAGGUGAGUGGAACUGCGAGUGUAGAGGUGAAAUUCGUAGAUAUUCGCAAGAACACCAGUGGCGAAGGCGGCUCACUGGCCCGGAACUGACGCUGAGGUGCGAAAGCGUGGGGAGCAAACAGG